ensembl:lncRNA
AGGAGCAGCAAAAGUGUUAAUGUGUUGCCAUGAAGCGGUGUCGCUGUCUGGACAUACGGCGUGGUGAGCCUGUCAUGCCCUGACACAGGCGAGCAGCUAAACUUAAAGUGUGGAGUGAGAGGAAUGCCAAGGUCCAGUAAGCCCCUCGGGGCAAUUAGGAAGGGAAGAGGAGAUUCUACUGGGGAACAAGUGUGUGUUUUCAUGUGUGUGUGAGACAGAAAUAGAGUUGAGAGACUCAGUUGGAGUUCAUGAGCUCGUUUUCAGCCAGAGAAGUAACCAGUGAGCAAAGGAGUUCAUGUGCAGUCAAGAGAACGAGAAGGGAUCAAGCUUGGAGCGUCAAACAGGUUAUGCCCUGUUUUGUGAUUAACCCUGGCAGCCAUACACUACAGCUGGAAGCGCAACACAACAUCCAGCACCGUGAAGCUCCAAGGCUGUAGACAUGACAAGGACAGAGCAGGUUGGAGUUGAAUCAGAGGAAGACGGAGCACUUCUAAUCUUAUCGGGAUCGUUUUGGAGACUUGCACAAAACUCAAGGACGUUAAAGAUUUUUCCAGAGAGAGAUUCAAGCGAGUAAAUGUCAUAUGGUGUUAUCUGAGAAAAUCAUGGUAUAAAU